rnacentral:rRNA from 1 species
UACGGAGGGCGCGAGCGUUGUCCGGAAUCAUUGGGCGUAAAGAGCUCGUAGGCGGUUCCGUAAGUCAGAUGUGAAAACUCAGGGCUCAACCCGGAGACGCCAUCUGAUACUGCGGUGACUGGAGUCUGGUAGGGGAACACGGAAUUCCUGGUGUAGCGGUGAAAUGCGCAGAUAUCAGGAGGAACACCGAUGGCGAAGGCAGUGUUCUGGGCCAGUACUGACGCUGAGGAGCGAAAGCGUGGGGAGCAAACAGG